rnacentral:rRNA from 1 species
UACGGAGGGGGCUAGCGUUAUUCGGAAUUACUGGGCGUAAAGCGCACGUAGGCGGAUCAGAAAGUCAGAGGCGAAAUCCCAGGGCUCAACCUUGGAACUGCCUUUGAAACUCCUGAUCUUGAGGUCGAGAGAGGUAAGUGGAAUCCCGAGUGUAGAGGUGAAAUUCGUAGAUAUUCGGAGGAACACCAGUGGCGAAGGCGGCUUACUGGCUCGAUACUGACGCUGAGGUGCGAAAGCGUGGGGAGCAAACAGG